AGAUGUAGGUACAGCAUAUUUAUCCACAGCCAAGCCAAGCAAGGAAGAUGAAGCUCUUAGCUAUACUUUUUGUAGUCAUUGUUACUUUAGUUUCAUCUUCUUCUUCUUCAUCAGUGCUUCACAGUGAUGGCAGAGAAAAGGGUAGGGUGGUGGCGGGAGAGCAGCCCUUGUCCAAGAUAGCUAUCCACAAAACUGUUGCUGCUCUCCGUCUUUCGGUCUCCGUUAAAGUCUCUCCGCGACUCCUCGGAAUUAAAGUACGUAUAUAUUGCUUCAAUAAAUUACUACUCCCUCCGUCCCAACGAAAGCGGUACGCUUCUUUUCGGCAUGAGAUUUAAGGAGAAUAAGAUUGUAGUAUAAAAGUGGGUCCUUUUAGUUACUUACAUCUAUUUCUGAAAGUGGAAAAUUUUCCUUUAUUAGAAUGAAGGCAGGUCUUUUUCAUUGUUUCCGCUAAUAUAUGUGCUACUUAUUUUUUAUUCCUNAGAUACAAGAUACAUAAUUACCAUGAAUUAACCAAGCUACUCAUAUGAAGCUAGUAUAAAUUAGAUCAAAUAUUGAAACAAAUGAAAAUACAACUCAAACCACGUCGGCGAAACAUAUACUAAUUAAUGUGUAUAGCGACCACAUUUUUAUAUACGACGUCGAUGAGACGACAUACAUUAAUUGAGCACGUUUUUAUAUAUUUGGAAUAGAAUUGUUGAAUAGUUACUGAUUUAGCAGUUAUAAAUAUGAGAUGUAGGUAUAGCAUAUUUAUCCACAGCCAAAACAAGCAAGGAAGAUGAAGCUCUUAGCUAUACUUUUUGUAGUCAUUGUUACUUUAGUUUCAUCAUCUUCUUCUUCAUCAGUGCUUCACAGUGAUGGCAGAGAAAAGGGUAGGGUGGUGGCGGGAGAGCAGCCCUUGUCCAAGAUAGCUAUCCACAAAACUGUUGCUGCUCUCCGCCCUUCGGUCUCCGUUAAAGUCUCUCCGCGACUCCUCGGAAUUCAAGUACGUAUAUAUAUAUAUAUAUAUUGCUUCAAUAAAUUACUACUUGUUUUUCUUUAAGUUUGGGCUGUCUUCUUUUGGAUAAAUGUGGAAAACAAUUGUUUUUCCUUCUUUUUCUCCUUUUAGUUACAUCUAUUUCUCAAAGUAGAAAAUUUUCCUUUAUUAGAAUGAAGGCAGGUCUUUUCAUUGUUUCCGCUAAUAUAUGUGCUACUAUUUUUAUUCCUUAAAUUGUCGUUAAAUUUGCUUCUUUUUUUUCUUUUUCUGCACGUGCUGUCCUCGUUAUUGAAUUUUCGUAUAUGUAACCUGCUGGUAGUUAUGCAACAUGAAUCACAUGAGCCUUGGGUAUUUAUUUAUUUACCUAUUUAUUUUUUCUCUUAUGUUUGCACACGUGAAAUGGAUAGAUGAAUAUCUCUCUCCAUAUAUAUAGCAUUGAGUUAUAGUACAAAUUUCAUUUAAUUUAAAAAUUAUAAAUUUUAUACUUAAUGUAUAAGAUAAUUACACUUAACGUAUAAAGUAAUUAUACUUUCGUGCUCCUAUAACUAUAAUGUAAUUGCACCCUUAUAAAAUUUCCAACCCAAAAUCAUAACAAUAUAUACUAUUAAAAUAGUAGGCUUUACCCAUUCUAAAAAAUCAAAAUAAAAAAACUACUCACAUAAAUUAAAAUAUAUAAAUAAUACUCACUUUUUAUAAAAUUUGAUAUUUAUACCUCUAAUGAAAUCAUAAUUUAAAAAAAAAACCCCCAAUUUUGGAAACUGUCGCAACAAACCCCCCUCGCCACCUCUUUCUUUCUCUUUCCCUAUUCUGUUGCCUUCCCCUCCGCGCCUCAUCGCGCUACACCUCUGCCUCGUCGCGCAUCCACAUCUCCGCCUCUCUCUCUCUCNAGAAUGAAGGCAGGUCUUUUUCAUUGUUUCCGCUAAUAUGUGCUACUAUUUUUAUUCCUUAAAUUGUCGUUAAAUUUGCUUCUUUUUUUUCUUUUUCUGCACGUGCUGUCCUCGUUAUUGAAUUAUAUAACCUGCUGGUGGUUAUGCAACAUGAAUCACAUGACUCAUGAGCCUUGCGUAUUUAUAUACUUAUUUAUUUUUUCUCCUAUGUUUGCACACGUGAAAUGGAUAAAUGAAUAUCUCCCUAUAUAAUGGUUAUGCAACACGAAUCACACCAAGCUUGGGUUUCUUUUUCUCCUAUGUUUGCACACGUGAAAUGGAUAGAUGAAUAUCUCUCUCCAUAUAUGGCAUUGAGUUAUAGUAAUAAUCUCAUUUAAUUUAAAAAUUAUAAAUUUUAUAUUUAAUUUAUAAAAUAAUUAUACUUAACAUAUAAAGUAAUUAUACUUUCGUGCUCCUAUAAAUAUAAUGUAAUUGCACCCUUAUAAAAUAAUUAUACUUAAUAUCUACUGUUAAAAAUUGUAGGCUUUACCCAUUCUAAAAAAUCAAAAAAAAAAAAAAAAUAAACUACACACAAUUAAAAUUAAUAUAAAUAAUACCCACUUUUUAUAAAGUUUGAUAUUUAUACUUUUUAAUGAAAUCGUAAUUAAAAAUAAUUUAAAAAAAAAACACCCCAAUUUUGAAAACUGUCAUAACAAACCCCCUCCCCACCCCCUUUCUCUCUUUCCCUAUUUUAUUGCCUUUCCCUCCGCGCCUCAUCGCGUUGCACCUCCGUCUCGUCGCGCAUCCACAUCUCCGCCUCUCCCAUCCACCUCGCCGCCUCCCCCAUCCACCUCGCCGCACCUCCAUUUCUCCGCCUCUUUCUCUCUCUCUCUUUCUAUAGAUCUACCACCUCACCAUGCCUCGCGCCUCUGCCUCACCGCACCAUGCCUUGCCUCACCACGAUGCGCCUUUGCCUCUACUAAACAUUGAUGCUCAACGCUUUAGUGUUGAGCAACACACGAAUGCUUGAUGCUCGAUUCUAGUCGAGCAUGUAUA
rnacentral:lncRNA from 1 species